CUCUUGGUUCCUCUCGGAAGUCCUGCCCUUGCCCUCGCUCUCAUUGCCUCCCCGUCCCUGUCUCCCCUGACACUCGUUCCUCCAGAAGCCCGGUAAACCCCGUCCUUACGAGCCCCGCCCCUAGCUCUUCUACUACGGAGGGGAACUGCAGAGCCAGAAGAGCACGGAGCAGCAACUCGCAGCCCAAUUGGUGACGCUGCAGAAUGAACUGGAGCUGGCGGAGACCAAAUGCGCCUUGCAGGAGGAGAAGCUGCAGCAGGACGCGCUGCAGACAGCGGAGGCCUGGGCCAUAUUCCAGGAGCAGACCGUAGUCCUGCAGGUGCGGCCCCACUCAGACGCCAAGGUGCCUCCCGCCUCUCCUCCCCCAGACCUGGGGCGGUGUGACGGGCAGCUUCGCAGAGUGCAGUACAGCACCGAGUCGCUCAUGGAGGAGAUGGCCAGGGCGGACCGAGAGACGCGGCUGUUCGGCGGUCCUCGCGCGCUGGCCAUCAGGCGCUGCUGACGCUGCCGCUCCUCUUCCUGGGGCUGUCGCUGCUCUGGACGGUGCUGUUGGACCCCGGCGCCGUCUCCGCGUGGCUCUGGAGCCUCACCUCGGAGACGACGCUGCGCCGCCUGCGCUACACGCUGUCCCCGCUGCUGGAGCUGCGCGCUAACGGGCUGCUGCCAACCUAAGUGCAGCGCCCCGCGCCUGGCUCCAGGUGGACUCCAGGGCACCGGCUUUAUUUCUGGUGCACUCCUCUCCUGAGAGUGUAGACCAAGGUCGCCUAAUAAACUCCUCAAGGGAUGAA
rnacentral:lncRNA from 1 species